AAUGCCCCUUGAGGCGUUGCAGCUCAGCUGCUGGUGCUGCUGCUGUGUCAUAAGGAGGCAGAGAGAAACUGGUGGUGGUCUGCACUGAGACUCGACUACGUCCAGAGGACUCGGAGUCAAAAUCAGCACCAACACU
ensembl:snoRNA